UGGCAGGGCCAAGUUUUACUUGUAGUUUUUACUGUAUUUUUUUGUAGUGUUUUAGGAUAGGAGUAGGUCCCCUGAAUAAAUCACCCCUUUUAUUAGAUGUCCCCUACCCUUUCAUAGAAGUGUGUACCCCUGAUUAGCUUUCCCCAGUAACAGUUCACAUUGUAUGUAAAUUGUUCCCAUGCCAUUGGUUCCCCCUGUCUCAAGACCAUGUGCCCUACUCACCCUGUAAGACCACAGACCCCUCAUGAUCAGUAGCAGACCAGCGGCAGUAGAGAGAGGACCGUGCAUUUUAUUACCUCUCUUUCCCCCUUGAUUUUCUUGGGUGCGCUUUGCCCUGUGUGAGAGUUUAUCUGCUCGAGUUAUUGAUUUUCUGCCAGAAGUGUCUUUAAGGUCUACUAAUAUACACACUGUGUUGGUUUGAGUCUUUGGUUUUAGGUUUAAGUUUUUGGUCUUCAUCUUUUGUUUUGAUUUUGAUUUGAAGUUCUUGUAAAUAAAUUCCUUUUGUCUUUUUUUUGUUCGAAAUCUA